rnacentral:lncRNA from 1 species
GGCCACGGAGACCUGGAUUUCUCAUUUGCCUCACUCCCGGUCUCUUCCUCUGAAGAUGUUGGAGACUUUGUUGCGAGGAAGGAUGGCUUUAGGUCAAAUUGCUAAGGCCUGAUCUUAAAGAUCUAAUUGCUAUUGGAAGAGAAGCCUGUUUCCCAGCUGGGCCUCCACUCUGGAGAUGGCGCAAGGAAGACUGUCCAGCUCUGCCCUGGGCACCCUGCUGAUGGAUGAGGUGUCAGGCAGUAGUCAUGUGAGGACUGGUUUCCAAAUGAUCCUUUGGAAUCUUGGAACCUAUUUCCAAAGCUUUAUAAUGCACACCAAAAAAAAUCUGAUACUAAAGGGUUUGAUAUGAUUAGCUGAAGAACCUGCUUGGAACGGCUCCCUUCCACAUAGUAAGACUAAGUGUGAUCUUGUUCUUGCUUUAAUGAAGAAAUAGCAUGAUAAUGCAGCAAACACAAAAAGCACAUAGUGUUUUUCAGUAUCACCCUUGCAAAAAUCAAUUUUUUUCCUAGUUCUUAUACAUACAGCAUAAAUUGCACAGAAAUGUCAUGAUGGUAUAGGUACUGUUCUGAAUCUUGCUUUUUACUUUUAAUCACAGGCCUAUCAUUUUUUUCCCAUAUUGCCACAUAAUUUUAAAAAUUUUACUUUUUAAUGGCUGUAUAAUAAUUUAAUGGGUAUAUUAUACGAAAGCAUUUGGCUAUCAUUGGAAAUUUUAGUUGUUACUUAUACAGCAGUGAAUGUCAAUGCAAAUAGCCUUUCCUUUAUUAUUCCAUGAUGAUGCAUUCUGAUGUUUGGGAUUCCUAGGUCAAAGAAUAAGGAAAUUUAAAGGAUCAUAAUAUGAAUUGAUAAAUAACUUCCCAAAACAUUGUGCUGAUUUGUAAUAUCAGCAACAAUGUGCAUUAGCUUCACUGGAUUAUGCCAGCACUGAACAUUGUUUUUGGAAUUUUAUUGGCUGACUUUAUAGGUAUGAAAUAUUGCUUCAUUGUUUUAACAUAAAUUUAAUUGAUGAUUAGUGUGGUCGAAUAGUUCUCUAUGUGUUUACUUCUAAGUCAGAUUUUUUUUCUUAUCAGUUGAUGCUCCUAGCCUUUGCCUGUUUAUAUGUUAAGAUCUUAAAACAGUUACUUUCUAAAAAAUUUCCUGCAAUGGUUUAAAUGAUUUUUAAAUUUCUAUCUUAAAAGGAAAUUCACAUUUCUGAUGAGUCAUUCACUAAGUUCUAAGACUAUCAUGAUCAUCUGUCAGUAUUGCCAGAUCAACUUGUAUUAAAAAGAGAUUCUAGGGGAAAAAAGAUACUAGAAAACCCCUUUCUGUGUAAAUAUGCAUAUGCACUCUAUUUACUUCAGGUCCUAAGUAUG